AACUUCUAUUUAGAAUAAGUAGUGGGGCUCUGAAAGGGGUCUCAUGGAGUAGCAUCCUUGCCUUCUUGAGCUAGUUUCCCACCACAUUUCUUAAAAUUCAUGGCAGAGACCUUGGUCUCGGGACCACUCGUCUAGAAACUGAGGUUGGGGGUAAGCAAGGGUUUGCUCCCCAUAGAAAAUCCAGCUCCAGAAAAGCUUUAUGAUAGCAAAGGAGGAUGGGCACCAGCCAGCCCAAAGGUUAAGGUGGGCUGCACCUGCCUACCUUG